AGUGAACGCUGGCGGUAGGCCUAACACAUGCAAGUCGAACGGCAGCACAGUAAGAGCUUGCUCUUACGGGUGGCGAGUGGCGGACGGGUGAGGAAUACAUCGGAAUCUACUUUUUCGUGGGGGAUAACGUAGGGAAACUUACGCUAAUACCGCAUACGACCUACGGGUGAAAGCAGGGGAUCUUCGGACCUUGCGCGAUUGAAUGAGCCGAUGUCGGAUUAGCUAGUUGGCGGGGCAAAGGCCCACCAAGGCGACGAUCCGUAGCUGGUCUGAGAGGAUGAUCAGCCACACUGGAACUGAGACACGGUCCAGACUCCUACGGGAGGCAGCAGUGGGGAAUAUUGGACAAUGGGCGCAAGCCUGAUCCAGCCAGACCGCGUGGGUGAAGAAGGCCUUCGGGUUGUAAAGCCCUUUUGUUGGGAAAGAAAAGCAGCAGGUUAAUACCCCGCUGUUCUGACGGUACCCAAAGAAUAAGCACCGGCUAACUUCGUG
rnacentral:rRNA from 1 species